AUUGAACGCUGGCGGCAUGCUUUACACAUGCAAGUCGAACGGUAACAGGCCUUCGGGUGCUGACGAGUGGCGAACGGGUGAGUAAUGCAUCGGAACGUACCCAGAGGUGGGGGAUAACGCAGCGAAAGCUGUGCUAAUACCGCAUGUGAUCUGAGGAUGAAAGCGGGGGACCGAGCAGCAAUGUUUUGCCUCGCGCCUUUGGAGCGGCCGAUGUCGGAUUAGCUAGUUGGUGGGGUAAAGGCCUACCAAGGCGACGAUCCGUAGCUGGUCUGAGAGGACGAGCAGCCACACUGGGACUGAGACACGGCCCAGACUCCUACGGGAGGCAGCAGUGGGGAAUGUUGGACAAUGGGCGCAAGCCUGAUCCAGCAAUGCCGCGUGCGGGAAGAAGGCCUUCGGGUUGUAAACCGCUUUUGGCAGGAACGAAACGGUGUCCGCUAAUACCGGGCGCUAAUGACGGUACCUGCAGAAUAAGCACCGGCUAACUACGUG
rnacentral:rRNA from 1 species